rnacentral:ncRNA from 1 species
UAACAGGCGAUGAUUAAAACGAAGUAGUUAUUAAAGCCAAUGUUUCAGAAAGCUAGUGGUUGUUGAAAACUAGUACAUGCUUUAAAACGAAUUACAUUUUAGGAGCCUAUGGCAUGAUUGCCACGCGACAGCGUUAAAUGUUUGAGUGAUAUGUUUAGCUAAAAACAUAUAAAAUGGGUGGUACCGCGAUAAUUCGUCCCUUGG